UAUAUUUUUUGACUCUUCGUUUUAUUUAAAUUUAUUUACGAUUGAUAUUUUUAUUUUUAUUAGAUGAUAAAUCAUGAAUAGUGUUUUACGUGUGACUAAUUUUUUCUUAAUUUUUUAAAGUUUUCCAAAUAAAACGAAUAGACAAACGUUGGACACGAAA
rnacentral:pre_miRNA from 1 species